CCUACGGGAGGCAGCAGUGGGGAAUAUUGCACAAUGGGCGAAAGCCUGAUGCAGCGACGCCGCGUGAGGGAUGACGGCCUUCGGGUUGUAAACCUCUUUCAGCAGGGAAGAAGCGAAAGUGACGGUACCUGCAGAAGAAGCGCCGGCUAACUACGUGCCAGCAGCCGCGGUAAUACGUAGGGCGCAAGCGUUGUCCGGAAUUAUUGGGCGUAAAGAGCUCGUAGGCGGCUUGUCACGUCGGGUGUGAAAGCCCGGGGCUUAACCCCGGGUCUGCAUUCGAUACGGGCUAGCUAGAGUGUGGUAGGGGAGAUCGGAAUUCCUGGUGUAGCGGUGAAAUGCGCAGAUAUCAGGAGGAACACCGAUGGCGAAGGCGGAUCUCUGGGCCAUUACUGACGCUGAGGAGCGAAAGCGUGGGGAGCGAACAGGAUUAGAUACCCUGGUAAGUCCAGCCGUAAACGGUGGGAACUAGGUGUUGGCGACAUUUCCACGUCGUCGGUGCCGCAAGCUAACGCAUUAAGUUCCCGCCUGGGGAGUACGGCCGCAAGGCUAAAACUUAAAGGAAUUGAACGGCNGAGACGAGCGAGACGACGACGAGGAGAG
rnacentral:rRNA from 1 species